ensembl:misc_RNA 7SK 7SK RNA
GAAUGUGAAGAUGACCUGGCUGUGACAUCUGUCGCCCCAUUAAUCGCCAGGGUGGAUUGGGCUGAUCUGGCUGGCUAAAUGGGUCCCCUUCCUCCCUCACGGCUCUAUGGGCGUUCCUCCCAAAGUUGUGCACUUGGUCGCAAAGGAUGACCUACCCGUUAGAGGACCGGGCUUCCAUCAAGGGCACAGGAGUAGCUGCAUUCCCCUGCUAGCACCUCCAAACAAGCACUCAAGCAAUUAGCCUGAUUCCUCAGGGGCUGAAGGUGGAGAGACUCCCCAAAUAGAUUUAUGACAAAGCUAGCAGAGCUUGCAAAACUAACUCUGUUU